UACGUAGGUGACAAGCGUUGUCCGGAUUUACUGGGCGUAAAGAGCGCGCAGGCGGUCGAUCAAGUCGAGUGUGAAAGCCCCCCGGCUCAACUGGGGGAGGGUCAUUCGAUACUGAUCGACUCGAAGGCAGGAGAGGGUAGUGGAAUUCCCGGUGUAGUGGUGAAAUGCGUAGAUAUCGGGAGGAACACCAGUGGCGAAGGCGACUACCUGGCCUGUUCUUGACGCUGAGGCGCGAAAGCUAGGGGAGCAAACGGG
rnacentral:rRNA from 1 species